rnacentral:rRNA from 1 species
UCGAGAGGCUUCGGCAAUGGGGGAAACCCUGACCGAGCGACGCCGCGUGGGUGAUGAAGAUUCUCGGAUCGUAAAACCCUGUCAGGUGGGAUGAAAAACCAUUCGGUUAAUACCCGAGUGGCUUGACAGUACCACCAGAGGAAGCUCCGGCCAACUCCGUGCCAGCAGCCGCGGUAACACGGGGGGAGCAAGCGUUGUUCGGAAUCACUGGGCGUAAAGGGCGUGUAGGCGGCUCGGUAAGUGGAAUGUGAAAUGCCCCGGCUCACCCGGGGACCUGCAUCCCAAACUGCCGGGCUUGAGUAUGGGAGAGGAUGAGGGAAUUCCUGGUGUAGCGGUGAAAUGCGUAGAUAUCAGGAGGAAUACCGGUGGCGAAAGCGACUCUCUGGACGAUUACUGACGCUGAGGCACGAAAGCGUGGGGAGCAAACAGGAUUAGAUACCCCUGUAGUCCCUGAGCGGGCUGGCAAGGCGCAU